CCCCUUUUCAUUAGAAGUCAUUGAUCUGGAAAAAAAACCUUCUACUUCCAUCAUCUGUCUUUUGCUUAGAAUUCACCCUUUGUUAUUUGCAGAGAACAUGUUCAUUCAGAAUUAAUAAAAUCGAAUAUGGUUAAGAUAGUUGGUAUACAACUUUUUAAAACAAAAAUAUUUUAAUGAACAGCUGACAAGUUUCCGUAGUUUGACAUUUAUUUACGCUUCCGCGUGCAUCAUUUUUAAAACCUAUCUUUGGCAGGUAGAUAUAAACCAAACUUCGUUAAAGUUAAGACUAUUGGAAUUAUUUACUAGUGACAUUAUACAGAAACCGCGGCGAUUCCGUACCCGUGAUGAUUGUCACAUAAAAUGUUCCCGACGCACGGACUCACGAUCGAUGUUCAAUGAUCAUUUUAUUUCUAAAAAUAUGACAGUUUGAAACGAAUUUACCUUGCAAGCAACAUUUUUCACUUUCAAUUAAAAUAAAUCACUUCUCGUUAUCUUUAAUCAAAGUUUAUUUUUAUUUUUUCAACUACAAAUACUCUCAUUCAUAAUUUUCAUCGUAAAUGUAUUCAAAUCUAUCACGUGUAUUGAACUGGUUCAUUGGUCGUGUUUAAAUAGAUUCUUCUUCUCGACCAAUGAAAAAAUUCGUUAAAUAAAUGGUCAAGUAAUCACACACACGAUGCCUAACUUAAAUACAAUGUAUUUGCGAUCUAUUUCUUCAAUUUCUGCACUGAAGUUUUAAAUUUUUUUAAUUUUCUUCUAAAAAUAUCUAUCUUCUUGAUGAUCAUUUACGCUAUUACAUGAUAACAUAGUCCGAUAAGGCUGAGAUAAGCGUGGCUCAGGUAAAACUAUAUUAUCAGAUAUUGCGUAACACUGACGACCUCUCAGCGGUGAUCAGCAUGUCAGCAACUUGACAAUUUUAACCAAAUUUAUAAUGAAAAUGUGAAAAUUAACACGCUGCGGGAUCAAGUAGUAAGGGACAGCGGCCAAUUAAGACGCUGCGGGAUUAACGAAAAUUUUAUGAAGGCGCUGCGGCACCGCAGCGUCAUAUCGGCCUGGGGAGAACACUGCUCAAGUUUGCAAUUGAUAGAAACUCAUGCAGUUUAUCUUACCUUCUCAACAAAAAACCUGAUGUUUGUAGUUGACUUAAUAUUUAUAGUAUAUAUUAUCAAACUGUUAAAAUCUGUAUGUAAAAUAUACACACAUAGAUAAUUAAUCAGAAUCUCCAACAUUAAUAAAAGCUUGCCAAAUUGUUUGUGUUUAGGAGAAAAUGCAAAAGUGCUGGAUGGCAAUGUACAACAUUCUAUUAAAAAAAGUUAGUGUCUGUACCUUAAAUUUUCAAAAUGUUAAAUUUUCCCAUCUUGCAAUUCUGAUUCGGAUCAUAUUUUAAGAUAUUAAGGACUUUCUUAUCCUAGGCAUAGAUUACCUUAGCCUUAUCAUGCUUAUUUUGCACAAUGAUUUGGAAUUUUGAGUCGCCUAUGCUCUUCACCUUUAUACUUGUUUGGCUUUCUAACUAUUUUGAUCUGCGUGUCACUUAUGUUGAUGAAACACUCAUCUGUCGUAUCAAACUAUAAGUUCACAAAAACUCUAUUGUUACAGCCAAUUUUUGGCUACUGCAUUUAACAUUUGAUAUGUAUUAUAACCAAUUUAAAACCCUGUGAAUUACAAAAUUGAAUGAAUGGAGAAUCAAUGUAAUAAUAGUUUCAAAACCUGAAAAUUGUGUUAUCUGUAGUUGGUUAUGGAUAAAUUAAUUGGAAUCUAUUUUUCUCACGAAUAAAAGAAUUUUAGACUUUUUAUAAGGUUUGUAUUAACAUGAGCGACACAACAGAUGCCACAAGUGGGGUUGGAUCUUCUCGCCCUUCUGGAGUAACUGAGAUCACCCCCAGUUAGUUGCUUAGUCUAAACUCUUUAGUUUUCUAUGUUAUGUCUUUUGAACUAUUGUUUGUCUGUUUCUCUUUUUUUAGCCAUGCAUGGCAUUGUCAGUUUAUUUUAGAUCUAUGAGUUUGAAUGUCCCUUUGUUAUCUUUUCCCCCUCUUUUAAUUAAGUUAACUAAAUGGUUCCUCAACUUUUCAUAAAUAGUCCUUUCUUAUUCUGGUAAAAGAAAGUUGUUUACAUUUACAUUCUAGUGUAGAAAAGACUGAAUAACAUAUAUUAAAUAAUAUAUAAGUCAUUUA
rnacentral:lncRNA from 1 species